ensembl:lncRNA
AUUAUCCUGGUUGUUAAAAAAUGAACCACAUGAAACGCGAAGAUAAGUCUUAAUUGAAUCUUGAGAGUGAAUGUCAUGCUGUCAGUCCAGCAGCUCCCCCUGUGUUUGUUUGCUUUGUUUGUGUUUCCGCUGUCUCUGCAAGGAGCUGUGGUCUUCUCCUGUUCAUCCCCAAAGGGUGUGGCUGGAACAGCUGACGGCAAUCAGCCAUCAGGGGACUCUCCUACAUCAACCCGGGUCUUCCUGCCAUUCAGCGCCAGAUCGUUCUGUCGUCAGAGUGAGAGGAUCAUCCCAAUCCGCAUUGAACACCUGAGGAUACAAGCCUCAAGCAGAUGGUCCCGAACCGCUACGCUUCCUGGAUGUUGAUUUACCAUAUGCUUUCUUUAAUAUUUCCUGAUGUUGACUGAAAUAUAUGCCAACCUAUUGUAAUACAUUAUACCUUAUAUUUUUGCAAUGGAUUUCUGGAAAAUACAGAUGCUGGCAAUUUGCUUUGAACUUUGUAAUAAAAUACCGUAACUCAUACAGUUGUACUGUGUUUAUCUCUGAGAAAGACCUUAAUUAGGUUCAGAAUGAAUGCUGUUUAAAAAACAUACCGUAUUGUCUUAUACAAACAAAACGGUAAUUUACCGUAUAUUUCACGGAUUUCUUUUUACGGUGUAUCUGUUUUUUUAAUAGUGGAUUUCUCUAAACAAAACUGUUCUCAACUAGGAAUUUUACGGGUGCAAAAAAACGUACCGUAAUGUCUUAUACGGCGUCACUUUAUUUUUUACGGUAAACCUCUGGCAACCACAGCUGCCAGUAAUUUAUCGUAUAUUUCACAGAUUUUUUUAUGCAGUGCAGUCACAACAUGAAAGUUUACUAAAUGCUGUUAAGUAUUGGAUUAGUGAUAUUCUGUGGCAACAUUAUGAAGUGAAUAGAGACUUAAGAGACUAGGACAGAGUUCUUCAACUUCAACUGCUCCAUUCAGGCCACUAGUUCCUUAGUCUUAAUGACAGAGGGCAGAUAUUGAUUGGAUUCAUAGUUAAGACCCUGCUUCCCUGUUGAGCUACUGUGGAGGGGUUCUAAAACCAAACAGGAAUGUUGUACUAAAACGAUACUUUGGAAGAUACCUUGAUUUGUCCAACUCAGUAUAGUUUCUAAGAAACUGAGAACAAUUUAUCAAACAGGAGGAUUGACUAUAGCGAGCGACACCUACGUACCUUUACAAUGUACGCAAAGGGACCUAAAGACAGAUAGAAACAAAUGCAAGGUUUAACUUUAAAUAUGAAAAUGUCACCAUUUAAACUUAGUGAUGAUGGACGAAAAGUACACUUACUAGUACAUUCAUCUUCAGGCUAAAACACUAUUAGACACUAACACAGGUUCUCUCAGGACUGACCUUCUCCAAGCUUUCCAUGAGAUUAAAUAUGAGAAACAGUGAUGAACAGCCCUUUGAAGUCAUACCCAGCCAGGAUAUAAUGUUCAGCAGAACCGCAGAAAGAGACCUUGGAGGCCUGAGUAUAGCUCUCUCAGACUGAUAAUAUGAGCUGAAUCCACCAGUUUACUCACCGGUCUACUCAUCACUUUACCCACCAGUUUACCAACUGGUUUAUCCACCAGUUUACCCACCGGUUUGCUCACCAGUUUACCCAAUGGUUUCCUCAAAGGUUUACUCACCGGUUUACCCACCUGUCUACUCAGGUAGGUAAAAACCAUAAAGUAGAACAGUACCUCACUUUGUUAAACAUCCCGUAAUAAAUAAAUCCCGUGAGUACUUAAAGCACUCCAAAUGACUAAUGCAUCUACCAGCCAGAUAAUCCUCCCGUCCUGUUAUACUGCAACGCUAUUGGUCGAUAGAUUACCAUGACAACAAUCUGUCGGUGACAGCCUGUAUAUUUUAGAAUUCCUAUCAUUUGAUCUAGACAGCAUGGUUUACCCAACUUUUAGGGGGAAGUAAAUAUAGUAGUCACAUUGAAAGCUUGUGUGUUUCUAAGCAAUGGAACUUCUAAGCAAAAGUGCACCUAUUCAUUUCAUCAUUGUUUUUGUUGACAAAAAGAUGCACCGUAUUAUAAAAAGAAUGGGAUUACAUCACCUUACAUGUAAUUUGGUUGAUCCUUUUAUCCAAAGUGACUUACAAUAAGUGCAUUCAACCAUAGGGAUACAAACUCAGAAGAACAAGAAACAAGAAAGUGUGAUUUCAUCAAAUAAGCCAAUUUACAAUUUUCUAUAGAUAAGUGCCAUUAAAGAUACAAGUUAAGUGCUACAAUUUGUUAGUCUUUUACAGUAUGUACGGAUAGGAUCGUGUUGCCAUGAAAUGGAUAAUGGGGAAAAAACACUAAGAUCAACACUAGUGUUUCCUUUUGCACUGUUUCAAGAUAAAUGCCAUUAUUUUUUUGUCAAUUUCCCAGACUUAUUGGUCACCGCUUGACUUAACAAUCAGGGCCCCUAGCCAGUUUUUUGGCCUCUGCCUCGAAAAUGGCAUACCUAUGAUAGAAGUGUAAUAACUCUACUUCGUCUAUCUGGACAUUUUGGGGGGAUAGAGGGGAACCCUGUGAGUGUUCUGUUGUUUAAAAAUCAAUUCAUAUGUUACUGGUGAAGAAAUAAAUGAAUAUAACACACAAACAAAAACUUCACAUUUUGAGAAAAAAAAUCACAGAUUUUAUUUCAAACGUGGAGAUAUUAGGCUAAUACGUGAUAGCCCAGUGUGUGGACAGUACACAUUGAAAGUUUUGCGUUAGGAUGGAGAUGAACUCCUUGCAACGGGAGGACUCAAUAUCUGGAUUUUUUCCUAAAUCAGGCGGUGGUAGACCGCCUGUUUCAACCACUUUUUUGAAUCGCCUAACCCUUUUGGUGAGGUUUAACUCUACGCACAGCCUCGGCUUUGUAACUGUACUCCUGAAUUCUAUUCUGGGGUGGCCCAAGGUGGUGGAGGUGCCAGGCGGGUUUGGGGAUACUCACAAGUCCAAGGCUGAGUGCUGCUGCAUUGGAGUUGGACAAUGGAGAUAACUGUAGAGGCGUGAAUGGGAGGAACGGCCUACCUGAUCUGAACCCGAGCGGUUGUUGGACUUCUGUGCUAGUCCCGGAUUAUCCAUAAUGAACACAAUGUUCAAACAUGUUCAUUAUUGUAUGUGGUAACAGAGCACCCUAGGCUGAAGAGGCCCCGGGAAGUGGGGGAGAGAUUACCAACCAUUAUCUCCACACUGGCCUGGGAACUCCUUGGGAAGACCCCUUAGAGCUGGUAGAUGCAGACCGGGAUGAGUCCCUGUUGGAACUGAUGCUCCCGCAAAAUGAAAGAUGAAAACUCUGGGACACCUUAGUAUUAUAUUCCUUGUUUCUCAAUAUUAUUUCUGUUUAGCGAUACGAUGACAUGUAAAAGAAGAUAUAUCUUCAUACACCAGCUUAAUUCUAGUGAUAAACCUAAUACACUACUUCCAAAGUCCUUGUGUCUACUGUCACACAUUAACAGGCCAGUUGGGAGUUCUGUGUGGAGAUGUAAAGGAUGUGUGACCUAUGCAUGUUGCAACAGUCUUCUGUUUCCAGUGGAUGUGCAAUAUUCAACACAUCUGAAGUAGGGAGAUACUUGCUGUUCAAACUGUUGAUUCGAAUCCUCUCAGCUAU